CUGGCACCACCUGGCGGCACAUGGAGGCUCAAAUCUGGAAGGAGCACAGCAUCUGUGGGGAGAAGGUCAGAGCAUGGGCUGUGACUCCAGGAAAUCAAGUUCAGUGUCAGUGAAUGUUUGGCAGGUAAACGAAAAACCUCCUUUUGAUGCAGAAACCAGCCUUGUCGGUUCUGAUCAACAGCUGGCUUGAUAAAAUGACAGCAUUGUUUGAUUCCUUCCACAUUGUGACACAAACAUGGGUAAAGACACAACAAGGAGAAAAAAGAAGAAACGUGUAGAGCAAAUAAAUCCAAAAUGUGAUGAGAUGCCUAACUAAAUCAACUCAAGAUAAACAUCUAGGAGUCAUAAAGGACCACAGCCUAAAGAAUGAAUCAUUAGUAUAAUGAGCUAGGUUUAGUUUGUACCUGAGUUCUACCACCCUUCAAAUCUUAGUAUACAACUUAAAAAGCAAGUUUCAGGAUGGUUACAAUGACAAUUAAAAAAAAGAAAUACACCA